rnacentral:rRNA from 1 species
UACGUAGGGGGCAAGCGUUGUCCGGAAUUAUUGGGCGUAAAGCGCGUGUAGGCGGUCCGGUAAGUCGGUUGUGAAAGUCCAGGGCUCAACCCUGGGAUGCCGACCGAUACUGUCGGACUAGAGUUCGGAAGAGGCGAGUGGAAUUCCCGGUGUAGCGGUGAAAUGCGCAGAUAUCGGGAGGAACACCAAUGGCGAAGGCAGCUCGCUGGGACGUUACUGACGCUGAGGAGCGAAAGCGUGGGGAGCAAACAGG